AUGGAUUUACAGACGUGGCCUGAUACCGGAUGUAGAUUCAAGCUCCAGCCGCAUCUUGAAGACAAUUACAUGGUAGUAACCACCAGAGAGCAAGUAUGUACAGUGGAGAGUGUUUGGACAGAACAGACCUGGGGAUGCCCCUUCUUCCAGCCUCUGACUACCCUCCAACCUAUCUUGGAGUUGCAACCUUUGCAACCAUCAUUCCAGCCAUUCUUUGCCUCCAGGACCAGCCAACAAAGGAUGAGGCUCUGGAGGGCGUGGGCCACUUUCAUCAGUUGGCCCAGGAGAAGCGCAAGGGCUCCCAGCAUCUUUUGAAGAUGCAAAACCAGGAUGUACAGAAGCUUGUCCCAAGAUGAGUGGGACAGAACCCUGGAGUCAUGGAAGCCCCCAUGGUCCUGGAGAAAAACCUGUUGCUCUUUUGGAUCUGCAUGCCCUGGAUUCUGCCUGCAUAGACCCCCCCCCCCAACAGCUGUGACUUCCUGGACAGCCACUUCCUGGAUGAGGAGAUGAAACUCAUCAAGAAGAUGGCCGCCACCUGACUAGUCUCCGCAGGCCCGUCUGGGCGAGGAUCUCUUCGUAAAGCUCACCCUCCUCAUUUGAUUUAUUUACUCUCCUGCUUCUCUUAACUUGGGAGCUCCUUGGGCACAGGACCUUUGCUGAUGGGAGGGAAGGUUGAUGAGGCUCCAAGCAUUUGGUAUUGCUUGAAGAAAUGGAGGGGUAAAGGAACAACAAGUUCUCAGGAGGCAGGUGGGCACGUGGGGCAAGCGUGGACGAGGUGCAGUCAUAGGGGCAAGACGGGUGGUCAGGUCUGUGUAACUUCAGGAAGUGGAAAUUGGGCCUGGAGCUUUUCUAUUUAUGGUCAAAGCCUGGGUGGAUCUGAGGCUUUGUAAGAAGGGCUUGAGCAGAAUAGACUUUUCAAAUCCUACUUUGGUAAAAGAGAACUGCUGUUGAAAAGGCUCUGAACGUGAAGUCUGGGAGUUGGGACCAUCGUGACAGGGAUCAGUGUAGUCAAAGAAAGUACUCCAGGAUUUGUUUGUUUUAAGAAAGGGUUUAAUGAGUAAAUGCAUACUUACAAGCUGUGCAUUGCAUUUUUUUGAAUUGAUGAGAUGUUUUAGCUUAGUUUCAUCAUUAUUAAUGAGGGUAUGGUAGAGGUAUAUUCCACAAGAAUGUGUGAUGUUUGGCAGUUGAUUUUGAACAACUGUAUUCUAGAUAUUUUAAGCAGAAAAAAAAGAACUUAAUAUAGGGAAUUGUAGGUUUUACAAAAUUACUGGAAAGUUUGGAGGAGCAGGCUGUAAAUUGAAGAUCCAAGAAUGACUCCUAGAAAACUCCAGAGCUGGCAGCAAUUGUGUUCAAGAACUCGCCGCCAUAGUUGUGAUUCAGAAUUCAGGACAGGAUCUAAGCUACUGCAUCAACCGUUGCUGCUUCUUAGAUCCUGGAAGACAGAGCCUGCUACUUUCGCCACUGAAACUCUGUCAUAUCUUCCACAAGGCUGGAGAUGGACCCCUGGCAUCUCCACAAUCCUUCCUGCCCAUGGAACCCUGCUGAAAGCAGCAGGAAAAUAGCAUCUGUUUCUCUUUUCCAUUCAAAUUUCUUGCAAGGGCAUUUAACUUGUGGAAACUAUUUUGCAUGCAGAAUUCUAGUUUUUAGAGUUUGUAGCUUUCCAGCUUCUGCAAUACAGAAAAGAAUAAUCAGGGCCAGCUACAUAAUUUGCAGGGCUCAGGGCAAAAUGAAAAUGCAGAGCCCUUUAUUCAAAAGGCAGGGGAAAAAAAGAUGCCAUUAAAGGUAGUAAAAUACAGAGAUUUUUUCCUUUUCUUCCAGGGUCUCCUUCUUGAUGUGUUAUGGUGUUUUUAUUUUCUAUCUAAUGUUGUCCUAAGUAAAGAGAAAGUUAAAAUUGUCAAUUAUUAGCUUACGUUUCUUUAUAUUGUGCUGUGCCAGUUUUAAAUGCAAAUACAAGAGUAUUUAACUGCAUGUGGAACCUCUGACAUGAUACAGUUCUACCAUACAUGCAUUAUAUAUUCAAUUCUUACAUGACUAGUAGAAAUGCUGCAGAGAGUAACUCAACUGUUUUUAUUUCACAUCCCGAUGUGUCACAUUCUACCAACAGUCUCUGCCUUCUUACUGAUGAGUAAAGAAGGACUGAAAGGAGAAGGGACUAUGGGUCGCCCUAAUUUUCCUUUUCCUUCUAUGUCAUCAUUUUUAGCAGGUGAUCGCUACAAGGAAGUCACCUGUGUAAGACUGUGAUAGGGUUCCUUGGUCACUUGUGUUUCUUAGAAUGCCAUUGCCUUCUUUCUGUGUUAGAAGCAAGUUCUGGUUUGAAGGGAAAGCAUACCCUGUCAGGACAGUCAGCACCUCUGUUUAUGCCGUUCUAGACAUAACAUGCUAGUUUCGCUGAACUCCCAGGUAUCACUAGCCCACCAGAACUGUCUGCUCAUGGAGUAUGGGAAACGCCGUAUGGGAACGGGGCAGCAAGGAACAGCAGGCGUGGGUGCACCUGCUCAUGGGCACACUCCUUUGUCCCAAAAGACUUCACUUACAAAAUACGAGUUCCAGGAUAAAAUUAUGAAGAAUUUUAAAACGGCAAGAGCCGGGCAUUACACCAAGUGCUUAGCCCUUCUGAAUACAGAGCCCUGGGCGUAGGUGAAGAACCAGGAAGCUGUCCCCCGGGCAUAACAGAAGGAGGCAGGGAUGGGUGUUGACUGUCAACUACUUUUUAGUUCCGUGAGGCCCAGUCUUACUUCCUUUGUCCUGCUAUUUACUGGCACCACUUUGGACAACGUAGAGAAAAUGCAACCCUAUUGUUAGCUCAGAGUGUGAUUUUGAGUGAACUAGAAAAAGGUGCCCCUUUCUUAAGAUACUUUACUGCCAUCUGUUGGAAGACUGUCAUAGCCACUUUAUAAAUGUAUGGUGACUACAAUGAACAGUGUCUCUUGGGCAAUGCUCAAUUUGUAAAAACAUGAGUGGCAGCCCUGACCUGUUACCUUCAGGGCCCACACAUGCGGAUAACACAUAAGCUGAGCUUGGCAGUCUUCGUGGGCAGCAGGCAGGGGUGAGGUGGCAGGCCUACGGGAGGCCCAGGCAUACCUCUGAAUCCCAGCCUCAGAGGCAUUCAUUUGGGAAUUGACACCAAUUGUUCCUCUGUUUACAUUGCCUUGUCCCUUGGCAGCCCAUGAAGAUGUCAUGGUGGGGAUUUUUGGCCAGUUCCAGCAUCUGACAAAGCCGAGUGGAUGGAAAUAGUAUUUUAUCUAGAGGAAGCCUCUACAGGCAAAAAGAAAAUACAAAAUACAAACCCCCAACUUUUUUUUGCUUUUGGCUGGAAUUACAUUAACUCUUUGUGAUCCACACAUUUUAUGCUAAUUAAAAAAUCUUGGUGGGGGGCGCCUGGGUGGCACAGCGGUUAAGCGUCUGCCUUCGGCUCAGGGCAUGAUCCCGGCGUUAUGGGAUCGAGCCCCACAUCAGGCUCCUCCGCUAUGAGCCUGCUUCUUCCUCUCCCACUCCCCCUGCUUGUGUUCCCUCUCUCGCUGGCUGUCUCUAUCUCUGUCGAAUAAAUAAAUAAAAU
rnacentral:lncRNA from 1 species